rnacentral:rRNA from 1 species
AUUGAACGCUGGCGGCAUGCUUUACACAUGCAAGUCGAACGGUAACAGGCCGCAAGGUGCUGACGAGUGGCGAACGGGUGAGUAAUGCAUCGGAACGUGCCCAGUCGUGGGGGAUAACUACUCGAAAGAGUAGCUAAUACCGCAUACGAUCUAUGGAUGAAAGCGGGGACCGUUAGGCCCCGGGCCGAUUGGACCGGCGAUGUCAGAUUAGGUAGUUGGUGGGGUAAAGGCUCACCAAGCCAACGAUCUGUAGCUGGUCUGAGAGGACGACCAGCCACACUGGGACUGAGACACGGCCCAGACUCCUACGGGAGGCAGCAGUGGGGAAUUUUGGACAAUGGGCGCAAGCCUGAUCCAGCAAUGCCGCGUGCAGGAGGAAGGCCUUCGGGUUGUAAACUGCUUUUGUACGGAACGAAACGGCUCUGGUUAAUACCCGGGGCUAAUGACGGUACCGUAAGAAUAAGCACCGGCUAACUACGUG